rfam:Lactobacillus plantarum WCFS1 complete genome
AUAAAAGCCUUGACGAGAAAUAGUAGUUAGUUACGGCGUCGUAGGGACGGGUGUCACCGAUUGAAAGCACCCUGGCGACCAAGAUUGACGAAUUCACUCUCUGAGCUGAAAUUGGGCGUUUGUGUAAACAAAUAAUUUUCCGGUAUCCCGACCGUUAUGACGGGUAGUGAGUGUGCAUAGUGACUACUAUGCAAACAAGGGUGGUACCGCGAUGACCUCGUCCCUUUU